GUCAGUGUGGUAUAAUGGUUUGUGUGUUGGACUGUGACUUUGAAGAUCAGGGUUCAGCUCCCUGCUCAGUCA